AGAGUUUGAUCCUGGCUCAGAUUGUACGCUGGCGGCAGGCUUUACACAUGCAAGUCGAACGGUAACAGGGAGAAAGCUUGCUUUCUUUGCUGACGAGUGGCGGACGGGUGAGUAAUGCUUGGGAAUCUGGCUUAUGGAGGGGGAUAACUACGGGAAACUGUAGCUAAUACCGCGUAAUAUCUUCGGAUUAAAGGGUGGGACCGUAAGGCCACCUGCCAUAAGAUGAGCCCAAGUGGGAUUAGGUAGUUGGUGGGGUAAAGGCCUACCAAGCCGACGGUCUCUAGCUGGUCUGAGAGGAUGACCAACCACACUGGAACUGAGACACGGUCCAGACUCCUACGAGAGGCAGCAGUGGGGAAUAUUGCACAAUGGGGGGAACCCUGAUGCAGCCAUGCCGCGUGAAUGAAGAAGGCCUUCGGGUUGUAAAGUUCUUUCGGUGAUGAGGAAGGCGGUUGUUUUAAUAGAACAAUCGAUUGACGUUAGUCACAGAAGAAGCACCGGCUAACUCCGUGCCAGCAGCCGCGGUAAUACGGAGGGUGCGAGCGUUAAUCGGAAUGACUGGGCGUAAAGGGCACGCAGGCGGUGACUUAAGUGAGAUGUGAAAGCCCCGGGCUUAACCUGGGAAUUGCAUUUCAUACUGGGUUGCUAGAGUAUUUUAGGGAGGGGUAGAAUUCCACGUGUAGCGGUGAAAUGCGUAGAGAUGUGGAGGAAUACCGAAGGCGAAGGCAGCCCCUUGGGAAUAUACUGACGCUCAUGUGCGAAAGCGUGGGGAGCAAACAGGAUUAGAUACCCUGGUAGUCCACGCUGUAAACGCUGUCGAUUUGGGGAUUGGGCUUUGAGCUUGGUGCCCGUAGCUAACGUGAUAAA
rnacentral:rRNA from 1 species